rnacentral:rRNA from 1 species
UGCCAGCAGCCGCGGUAAUACGGAGGGGGCUAGCGUUGUUCGGAAUUACUGGGCGUAAAGCGCACGUAGGCGGAUAUUUAAGUUAGAGGUGAAAUCCCGGGGCUCAACCCCGGAACUGCCUUUAAUACUGGAUGUCUUGAGUUCGAGAGAGGUAAGUGGAAUUCCAAGUGUAGAGGUGAAAUUCGUAGAUAUUUGGAGGAACACCAGUGGCGAAGGCGGCUUACUGGCUCGAUACUGACGCUGAGGUGCGAAAGCGUGGGGAGCAAACAGGAUUAGAUA